UUCACCUCUAUCAAAUAACCUUGGCCUGAGUACCUUUAGCUCUGCCACACAGGAAAUCGCCUUCGGCGGUGGCGGAGGGCCAAAUACCAUAAAACCCGCAUCAACACGAUCAUCUUAUCAUCCUCUCUCAUUUUACCCUAUCAAUUUCUCCUAAUUUCUGACCUAACAGUCAAACCGAGCCUAAACCAUUAUGAACCCUAACUCACAUAAAGCAUAAAUUAAACGUGAUUGUAGAGGAAUCAAAGCCUCCCUUGUUAGGGCUUUGAUUCCUCAGGCGAUGAGAUACAUAUUGGUAACAAGAAUUAACGCGCAAUGGAAGAAAAUAACCUACCUACGAGAUGGUGAGGUGUCCCGGUAUGCGAGUUGAAAUUGAAACAAAAGAAAGAUAAAGAUGAAGAUGCACUCAGGUUGUACUGGUUAUGUGAAGGUUUUGGAUUGGUCUGGUGUGAAGUCUUGGUGGUCCAAACAUGAAUUUGAACAUGGUCCAAGACAUGAUGAUCGGAAAAAUAACAAGUGUAUUAUUUUGCAUGUUAUAGUAAUAAAAGGGAAAUUCCCCGAAUAUCGAUCUCAAGGACUGCAAGUUAA